CCUACGGGGGGCAGCAGUGGGGAAUAUUGCACAAUGGGGGAAACCCUGAUGCAGCAACGCCGCGUGGGUGAAGGAGCGUUUCGGCGUGUAAAGCUCUGUCUGUGGGGAAGAAGAAAGACGGUACCCGACCAAGAAGCCCCGGCUAACUACGUGCCAGCAGCCGCGGUAAUACGCAGGGGGCGAGCGUGAUCCGGAAUUACUGGGGGUAAAGGGAGCGUAGACGGCGAGGUAAGCCUGAGGUGGAAGCCUAGGGCACAACCGCGGAACUGCAUGUGAGACUGUUUUGCUAGAGUAUGGUAGGGGUAGGUGGAAUUCCUGGUGUAGCGGUGAAAUGCGUAGAUAUCAGGAGGAACACCGAUGGCGAAGGCGGCUUACUGGACCAUAACUGACGUUGAUGCGCGAAAGCGUGGGGAGCGAACAGGAUUAGAUACCCGAGUAGUC
rnacentral:rRNA from 1 species